UGCUCUUAGUUUACCAGAGGUGGCUCAGCCCUAGAAGCCCAUAAAGGAAAACCACAUGAAAGAAGUCCUUUCCUGAGCGAAGUCCUGCGUUCAGAACUGAUUGAGGAGUGAAAUAAAAGAUGGGCCGUGGAGACUGAAAGACAGCGUCAUCUUUGUCACCCAUAAAGGGGACACCGGAGAAAGUGGCUUACGCCUGCGGGCUGGUAGGCGAGCCCCAGCAGCUGCGAGAGGAUGAGAAAACUCAGGCAGGGGUCGCGUAACUUGUCCAAGACACACAGUCGGCGGUGCCGGAGCUGCAGUGCAAACAGCCCUUCCAGACCCCAGCGCCUCAGUGAAGCAGCGGACCCACUCUGUCUGUUGGAUGGAGGGAGUGGAUGAAUAAAAUGUGGCACUGGGGCAGGUUGACUCUCUUGAUCGGAACUUCCUCCCUCCAGAAGAGGACCUGGCCCCUUCCCCAGGAUUCUCUCUCAGAGAAGUGGUGUCAAAAUGAGGUGCUGCUACUGAUGCCCCAGGUGGGGAUGAGACCAAGAAGGUCAGGCUGAGGGUCCAGCUGCUCUUGAACUGCUCCAGGAGAAGCCUCUAAGGAAAUAACUGUCCAUGGAAUA